UACAGAGGUCCCAAGCGUUGUUCGGAUUCAUUGGGCGUAAAGGGUGUGUAGGUGGCGCCGUAAGUCGGGUGUGAAAUCUCGGGGCUUAACUCCGAAACUGCAUUCGAUACUGCGGUGCUUGAGGACUGGAGAGGAGACUGGAAUUCAUGGUGUAGCAGUGAAAUGCGUAGAGAUCAUGAGGAAGACCAGUGGCGAAGGCGGGGUCUCUGGACAGUUCCUGACACUGAGACACGAAGGCCAGGGGAGCAAACGGG
rnacentral:rRNA from 1 species